GACAGAGGGUGCAAACGUUGUUCGGAAUUACUGGGCGUAAAGCGCGUGUAGGCGGCCCCGUAAGUCGGAUGUGAAAUCCCACGGCUCAACCGUGGAAGUGCAUUCGAAACUGCAGGGCUAGAGUCCUGGAGAGGAAGGUGGAAUGCUUGGUGUAGAGGUGAAAUUCGUAGAUAUCAAGCGGAACACCGGUGGCGAAGGCGGCCUUCUGGACAGUGACUGACGCUGAGACGCGAAAGCGUGGGGAGCAAACAGG
rnacentral:rRNA from 1 species